rnacentral:rRNA from 1 species
GACGAACGCUGGCGGCGUGCUAAUACAUGCAAGUAGAACGCUGAAGGAGGAGCUUGCUUUCUCUGGAUGAGUUGCGAACGGGUGAGUAACGCGUAGGUAACCUGCCUGGUAGCGGGGGAUAACUAUUGGAAACGAUAGCUAAUACCGCAUAAGAGUGGAUGUUGCAUGACAUUUGCUUAAAAGGUGCACUUGCAUCACUACCAGAUGGACCUGCGUUGUAUUAGCUAGUUGGUGGGGUAAGGGCUCACCAAGGCGACGAUACAUAGCCGACCUGAGAGGGUGAUCGGCCACACUGGGACUGAGACACGGCCCAGACUCCUACGGGAGGCAGCAGUAGGGAAUCUUCGGCAAUGGACGGAAGUCUGACCGAGCAACGCCGCGUGAGUGAAGAAGGUUUUCGGAUCGUAAAGCUCUGUUGUAAGAGAAGAACGAGUGUGAGAGUGGAAAGUUCACACUGUGACGGUAUCUUACCAGAAAGGGACGGCUAACUACGUGCCAGCAGCCGCGGUAAUACGUAGGUCCCGAGCGUUGUCCGGAUUUAUUGGGCGUAAAGCGAGCGCAGGCGGUUAGAUAAGUCUGAAGUUAAAGGCUGUGGCUUAACCAUAGUAGGCUUUGGAAACUGUUUAACUUGAGUGCAAGAGGGGAGAGUGGAAUUCCAUGUGUAGCGGUGAAAUGCGUAGAUAUAUGGAGGAACACCGGUGGCGAAAGCGGCUCUCUGGCUUGUAACUGACGCUGAGGCUCGAAAGCGUGGGGAGCAAACAGG